ACUGUGUACGUGGACAGGGAGUUGGCCCAGCGCUCUUGUGCUGAUUUUCUAACCGGUCCGAACAAUUUGUUUCUGAAAACUAUCGCUUAAGAAACCACGUCCAUCGAAUGGGAGCGCUGUUCAUCUCCGGAAUGAAGUUGGAUCUUGGAAACCCUAAAAGGAACUCGUGAAAAGGGUAGACUUCAAGCAUAUGGACAUAUGGCUUGAGUUGUCGGUCCUCAACCAUUCAGAGGUCUACAUCACUAGGUUAGCUGCGAAGUUGGAUUCAAUAACCGUACUGCUGGCGUUAAUGCUCGCAGACGAAGAAGACUUCAAGGAUAUAUGACAUAGCGAACGCUUACAGUUCUACUGCCAAUAGAAAAACAGUUCGUUUCGGAGUAUCGGAGAGAACUCAUGACAAGGUUGCUCGGUGUGGACUGAUCGCAUAGGACAAAGUAUGACGAGCAAAGUGCUGUAACGUCUAUCCGAUAUUUGAAUAAAUUGUA